rnacentral:rRNA from 1 species
CAGCAGCCACGGGAAUACGUAGGUGACAAGCGUUGUCCGGAAUUAUUGGGCGUAAAGGGCUCGCAGGCGGUUUCUUAAGUCUGAUGUGAAAGCCCCCGGCUCAACCGGGGAGGGUCAUUGGAGACUGGGAAACUUGAGUGCAGAAGAGGAGAGUGGAAUUCCACGUGUAGCGGUGAAAUGCGUAGAGAUGUGGAGGAACACCAGUGGCGAAGGCGACUCUCUGGUCUGUAACUGACGCUGAGGAGCGAAAGCGUGGGGAGCGAACAGGAUUAGAUACCCCGGUAGUCCCUGUCUCUUAUAC